ensembl:lncRNA
GGAUCUCUUCUAAGGAGUUGACACACAUGACAUAUAAAAUAUUUGUAAGAGUUCUUUGAAGAUGAUGUCAAUGUUACCUUAACACCGGAGGAAACUGAAGUACAGGACAAAGAAGAGCCAUGCCCAGAAUCACAGCUACUAAGUGGCAGAUUUGGGAUUCAAAGCCAGUUGCUGUACUUUGCUACUGGAGGCAUCAGAGAAAUAAGGAAAAAAAACUAUGUUCUUAUUGAUUGAUGGUUUCCUUAUUUUAAAAAAUACUAUCCAUUGUUCUUGGAAUCAUAAUGAAGAACAUUAGAACAUUUCUUUCAUCAAAAUCUGAGAGAUUACUCACAUUAAAAAAUUAAUAACAAAUUUAAUGAGCUGAGAUGGAAGGCACAAGUUGAAGGUACUGAUGAAAUAUUGGAAUUGCUGGUGAAGUGAAUGACUAGAGGCAAAGGCUUUGCCAAAGCUUCUGUAUUUCAUGAUUGGAAGAUGAUCACGUUCAGUGAGCUAGCAACUCCCAGGAUAAUUGUACCAAAAGCAUAUGAGGGAUAAAGCAUGGAGAAUUCGAUGGACAGAGGAGACCGGCAAGCUACACACUUCUGAUAUGUUGGGUAAAGCCUAUUGAUUCACCCAUGUUUGGCUUUUAUGGUAAUUUACUGAAAGGGAGCCUUGAAGAAAGCUUGCAGAAGAGAUGGAUAUUUUUCAGAUCUUACCCAAGUGGAAUAAAAGAAACGUAAAAGUCGAGAUUGCUUGAAGUCGUGAACUUGCAUGUACUCCUAGCCAUCCUUGGUGUCACCACAACAGAGUUACUUAUUUGCAUGUCCAGGACCACAGAGAGGACUCAGAUCAAAAAGGGCCUCAGCAGGAAAGCUGUCAGUGUUCCAGAAUCUCAUGGCAAAGGAUUCCUUUUUACUAUGUAAUGAAAAAUGGUGAUGUUAAUAAAACUGCUUCAUGUAAUUG